UUGAGAUAUCUGUCAACCAGCAAACUACAUAGACAGGCACACAAAGAGGCUCUUUCCCAUCAUCCCACAAGGACAUGUUGAAAUUAUGCAUUGUACUGACUUGAUCCCAAGAACAUCUUUACUUUUGGAAUAGCAGAAUAGAAAGUUUCUUACAUUUCAAUUUCUCUAUAGAAGAAGACGCUAUUUUCUCUUCUUUGAAACUAUUGGUUAGAAAAAAAAAAGAGAAACAACCCUCCCGCAACAACAAUACAAAUAUUAUCCAAUACUUUUACACAAUAAAAUCCAUUACAUUUAAAGAAGAAAGCAACACAGACCUCUAUAGCUAGCCAGUUGUCCCCUGAAGAAAUCCUCAGCCUGUGAAUCAUAAAGCAAACGACAGGUCUCCCACAUCCCACCUAUUUCCAAACAUUUCGCUUUCCAAUCACAUCAGCCAAUUUCAUUCUUUAAUGGAUUCACUCACAAUUGGUAGUUCUUCCUCCUAGACCAAAGGUUGUUUUCCAACUUCUUAAGAGACUCUGAAACUCAUCAAAAACAAUUCUCACCUGAAAACCGAUGAAGAUCCAAUAGUACGUUGUCCAAUUCUUCGUACUGCAUAUGGCGACUCUUGAGAUAUCUGUCAAGCAGCAAACUACAUAGACAGGCACACAAAGAGGCUCUUUCCCAUCAUCCCACAA